UGUUCUACUUCUUCCAAGGUCUUCCUGAAUACCUCUUCAGAAUACCGGAUUUGAUGCUAGGAGAGUGUAGGAAAAAAAGAAGAAAGUGUGCAGGUUUUACAAAUUCUUUGUACUUUUAACUUUUUGUCACAAUUAUUUUUUUUUUUUCUACUGUCUGCAAGUGGAUUGUGAGGAUAUUGUGAACUCUUCAUACUGAAUUGCAAUAUUUGCAUUUAUAUGCUACUUUCCUGACAGAUGCUUAGAAGUACUUAAUGCAGGUAAAUGUGUCCUUUGUCCAGGGUCUUUUUGUUUUGUACUUUACAGGAUUGUUCUAUUUUUGAAAGCGCAAUGAAGCAGCAAUGAUCUUCCAGCAUUCUUGUUUCUGUCUGGUAGCUGCAGAAGACAGGAGGGUCAGAAGAAGCCUCUGUUAACCUGUGCUGCACCACUGUACCACAGCCAGUCAAAACUCAGGUUCCUAAAGAAAGGAUCCCCAUCUCGAAAUGUGAAGGACCAAGGUCUUGACUGUGAUGGAAAAAUCUUCAGGGAGACUGAAAGGCAAACUGGAGUGAGACUUACAGUCCUGAUGGCAAGAUACAAAGUUUUCUGCUGGAUUACAACCUUGGCUAUAGUUUCUGGAGUUCUGUUUUGUGUCUUCUUCCAAGACGGUGUUGUUGUAGUCCUUCUAAAUAUAUCCAAGGGACAUAGGGUCAGGUUGUUCAUGUGAAAAUGUAAUGCAGUGUCCUAGCCAACUGUAGAGUGCGCAAUUAAUUACUUCUCCAUGGAUAUUACUGUAUGAUGAAAAGUUCCCAUCAGUGAGGGAUCAAAAAUUCUUAAGUAACUUGUAUUAAAGGUGUGCUAGGCAUGAUUCCACUUUAUAAAAUAGAUGAGAACAUGCCUUUUUUUUUGCAAAUGAUGUGCUUUACUUCAGGGUGUAAUCUUACUUUUGAUGUGAUUUAUUUUUAAGCAGCUGUUCUUCAUCCAUGAGCUCAUCUUCAUCAAAAAGUAGAUUAGUUUAGUGAGGGCAAGAUAACUGUAUGAUGUGAAGGGUAAACAAAACUAUGUACCAUUAGCAAACACAUUCAAAUUUGAGUCUGUAGUGUCUCGUCACUUCUCUGAACAGUCAAAGUUGGAUUAUCUUCAUGAAUCUCUAUGUGUUAGGUAUCUAGAAUUUUAAUUUCUUACUUUCAUUCAUUGUGCUUGCUUCGGGAGAAUUAAGUGUGAAUUCUCACCUCAAGAGAAUAGGUCGUUAUCCAAGCAACCACAAACAGAAGUGUACAGUGGUUCAAGCUAUGGAAGCUAAUGGAGCAAAAUGUUGUACAAAAUAUGAAGUACCUACUUAGAUGGCACAGUUCUGUCUCAUGAAGGAAACACUGCAUAAUGCAGAGAGAUCCUAGCAAUAUAAGAAUGAGCAUUAACCUUCUGACUAUGGGGUAGUCAAUAGCAUGGCUAAUGUGUUUUUAGUUCUUGAUGUGGUGUGUACAGCAUCAAAAUUACUGGUAAUGACUAUGUGAGCUUUAAAAGCACUUCUCUGAAAUUACUGAGGAAUAAAAAGAGUAGUAGCUAGCCAAGCCAGAUGAAUUUCAGCAGGGAUUCAUCAGAGACAAUAUGCUUCCUGUUAGAAGAGGAAAUAAAGAUUUCUUCAGUGAGUGAGAAGGGUCCAUGGAAAUAACUCGAUGACUAAAAUUUUCUGCAACUUUCUUAUGUGCUAUCUUAAUUAUAGUUUUGUUAAAAGUAAAAAUUAUUUAGUUUGAAACUCCUGAGUGAUUUCUCAGAAUUGGUCUGAUAAGCAUCAUUAAGCAUUUCUUCUCGAUUGUUGGUAAAACUGAGCAACACUAAGACUUUGAAUCCCUUGAGAGCAGUAAUAGUUUAAGAAGAUGUAGAAGACAAGUAAGUGAGAGAAUUUUACAUAGCUUUAAUCUUUUCCCUUCCUUUACCACAGAUGAUUUGCCUGAGACAUCAUUGUAAGAAAAAAUAGGCUACUACAAGAUUUAUUGGCUGUCUGCAUGACUUAAUUUUUUUUUUACAUGCUUACUUGAAAUAUUGAAAGAGGGAGAUGUUUUUCCAUACCUUAGAGCUUUGAGACUUCUGGGCUGGAUGCAUCCAGAAAGGGAAUAACCAGCUGUUGGAAGAGGUACGGUGCUCAGUGAACAGAGGGUUCAAAACUUACAUGGAAGUUUUCCUACAACCCUGAGAACCUUGUCUUUGAGGUUAUGACAAACACAUAAGCCCAUCUUGCUGCUAGGAAAAUUUCUCAAUAUAGGAGAUAUAUUUCUGAAAACAAGAAAUGUUUGUUUUGACAAAUUCUGAUGAAACCCCAUUUCUUUGAAAAAUUUUCACCCAGGCUGCUGUGUACAGUCUACAAACUUCAGGGAUGUCCUGUAGAAAGUGCAGGUUGAGGCUCAUCUGUUUUAUUUAAUUGCCUCUGGGACUGAUUUUUUUACUAGGAGCUUGGGGAAUACAUGGUCUGUUGCUUUAGGAAUACUUUCUUUAGAUCUAAUAAGCCAAGCACACUUACUUGAUUAGCUGUCCUGUAGUCUCCUAACAUUGACAAAAUGAAGCUGAAAGCUAGUGCAUGACUUAAAGUUAGAAUUGUGUGAUCAAGUUCUUGCCUGUACACUAAGAAGAUGACCCCAGAAACAGAGACUGCUAAACUACCUUGGAGUUUUCUGGUUGGAAGAUUAGAAAGUAUUAGAGUCAUUAAUGACUUAAGGCCAUCCUAGCCCGAGACUAGUGUUCUCCGAAGUUCGCAUGCAAUGUAUGAAACUGACUAUCAUCCCACAUUUCACUUUUAAAAUGGGUAAAAGAAGAAGACUGAGAUAAAUCAUUUAAGUUUUUACCUUACCUUUUUAUCAGUCUCCCUAAGUGUCAUGGGAUGGACUCCUCACACUCUCCCCAUGCUCCAGCCCAGGGUCCCUCCCACAGGAGACAGCUCUCCACAAGUUUCUCCAACAUGAGUCCUUCCCACAGGCUACAGUUCUUCACAAACUGCUCCAGCGUGUGUCCCUUCCACAGGGUGCAGUCUUUCAGGAACAGACUACUCCAGUGUGGGUCCCUAAUAGGCCAGAAGUCCUGCCAGCCAUCCUGUGUUAUAUGAACAUCAAUGAGACUUGCUUCCUGAAUGUACUGAGAUGUGAAAUGCCACAACAAACUGUCUAAUCAGAGCUACUAAACAAAUAGGUCUUAAAAUGUACAAGUCAAAACGCAAAUGUUAUGAAAAUCAGUGUGAAAACUCAUUGUCCUAAAAGACAUGCUCUGAGACUUGUUGAUGAGUUUUCUGACCUGGUUAUCAUAAUUUGUAUCCAUAUAAUACCACUGGCCUGAGUGUGUAAGGCAAGCACUAUUUUCAGAGCCUUCUUUCACUUUAGCAACCUAACAGCAUCAGCAACUGCCUGAUAGACUCUAGCACCAAGUCACUUCAUGUACUUUUGCUGGAUUUGAGCGAUCAAAUUCCAGCAAGUUCAGCCAAUGGAGGUUCAACAAUAAAAGGCAGAUGGGAAACUAGAAGAAGAAGGGUCAUUUCUGUGGGAAGCCUCUGCAGUAUGACAGUGGCUAAGGGAUUGCUGUUAUUAAAUCUAUAGUGUGAUCAGACUAAAGCAGCUCUAUCGCUACUGAUGAUACAGGAGUGGGAUGAGACAGGAAUAAUGGUAAAGAUUUGAUCAGCAGUUUCCAGGAACUGGUCUCCUACUGGUUUGUAGAGCAUACACCUACCCUAAAUAACUAGCUCAAUCCUGGUAGAAACUGUGUGCUAAAGAUUUGAUUUGCCUUCCACAAGCAUAGUCUUGGCAACUCACAUGUGAAAAAAAUGCAAGCGCACAUGGGGACUUGAAAGUGGAUUUCAAGCUACAAUGUGAAGUCUGGCAGAGUAGUCUGAGUUCUACUACCCACCCCUGUUGUUUCCUUCUUUAUCGUCAGGUCAAGGGGGCAGUUUAUCGGUUUAUGCUGAUGGAAAGUGUCAUAAGUCAGAGCUAGAUCAGCACAAGAGCAGGCUGCUACACGUGCUGCUCCUGGGAUCUCUUUUGGACGUCACCAUGCUGAGUGAUGUGCAAUGUCAGUUCAACAUGAUGGGCCUACAGCUGGGAGAAAAGUAAAGUUCUGAGCAUAGAUCCCAUGACACACUAGUGGCAUUGCAGUGUUCUGGUAUCCCUGACAGGGAGCUGAAUGACUGAAAAGCCAGACAGGGCAUUAAUUACACUAUUGCCAAACUAUCUCAAUAAAACAAAACUGAGAGGGAGAAAAAGAGAAAGCUACAUGGCACAAACCUGUUUCUGUUAGUGUGAACCUAUUUUCUCUAUGCUUUUUAAUUGUUUAGCUUUUAAAGAAGGUGUAAACCAAUAUAAUUAGGUAAUUCAUGAAUACUUCUUAUGAUUUUACUUUUAUUUAAGCAUUCAGUCUCUUUUGGCCUAGACUUUAACCUGUUCUUUAACUUGUAAAGCUAUUAAAUUUGAGACUUCUUACCAAGCUGGCUUUCUACAAGAUCCCAAAGAAAAUAAAAUCUUGUGUUCUAGAUAGUUAGAUUUUGUUUUGGAUAGUAGAGCGUUUGAGUUUGUUGUAAAUUGUGAGUUACAGGCACAUAUAUUUUAAAUCAUUGAAUAAUCUUGAAUUUUACAUAGUUUUAAACUUCGUGAUAGAUGCAUUAAUAAGUUGAUAGUUACACAAAUACAUUCCAGUUAUCAUCAUAAACAUUUGAACUGAAGACUAUAGGCUAUCACGUCUAAAAUUACCCUUUCAUGACCUGACUUAAUCAGAAGUUUCUUUGGUAAAUGUAAGUUGCAGCUAUAUAUGUGUUUUUUCCUUUUGCAUGGCCAAGAGCAGGACUAAAAUAUCCAACUUAAUGUACACAGAACAAUGUGCUGUAUUCUUUUUAUGCUGGGUUUAUACAUCUAUGGCAUGUGUAAAGGUACAGAAUUAUGAAAGGAGAAGUCUUGAUCUUUCUGACUAAUAAGUAAGCCAAAUUGUUUCUUUAUGUAUCUAUCUGUCUGUCUCUCUCCCUCUCUCCAUCUUUCUAUCUAGAUAUAAAAUAACUCAGAAAACUAUCAUAUUAUUAUGUGACAGAAUUUUCAUUGUUCCCAACAGAUUCCAUUAGUGGUGUCAUAUUUGUUCCACAUAAGAAGUCAGAUACAAUCCAUUAAAGGCAACUUAUUUUAAUUAUUUCA